GAUGAACGCUAGCUACAGGCUUAACACAUGCAAGUCGAGGGACCGGCGCACGGGUGAGUAACACGUAUCCAACCUGCCCUUUACUCGGGGAUAGCCUUUCGAAAGAAAGAUUAAUACCCGAUAUAAAGGAUGGGGAUGCGUUCCAUUAGGGUGGUGGUGAGGUAACGGCCAACCAAGCCUUCUAUGGAUAGGGGUUCUGGGAGGAAGGUCCCCCACAAUGGAACUGAGGCACGGUCCAAAAUCGUACGGGAGGCAGCAGGGAGGAAGAUUGGUCAAUGGGCGGUAGCCUGAACCAGCCAAGUAGCGUGAAGGAUGAAGGCUUAUGGGUCGUAAACUUCUUUUAUAUAAGAAUAUGUAUUAUAUGAAUAAGGAUCGGCUAACUCCGUGCCAGCCGCCGCGGUAAUAC
rnacentral:rRNA from 1 species